rnacentral:lncRNA from 10 species
GAUUUCAUGGAGGCCCGGGGCCGCGGGCGCUGUUCUCCUUCCUGUGCCGAGUGUGGUUUGCUAUCAAGCGGUGGCAGUUCAGCCACAAUCAGGGGCAGGGGGAGGGAGAGGCCCCCCGAAGAGGCAGAGGCCCUGCCUCGGCCGCCCUGAGCCUGGAAGGGAAGCUGGUGAGGCGGAAACAGGGAGGAGUAGGUUUUUCUUUCUUCUCACACCGGCAAACCAGAGGAAGCUUAACCUAUCGGAACCAAUUACUAGCAUGAACCUAGCACUGAGCUCAAAGGCUGAAUUUUAGACCUUUCACUGCUCCCAUGCACACCCUGCCUGGUCACGGCUUCUCACCGUCUUUACCAAGAUCAGUCACACCUGUGAAGCCCUGCUCAUUCAUCUCGCCAAUUCCCUUCUACAGGACCCAGUGCCCAGACGCCACUACCCAAUUCCCCCAGCCUUGGAAUCUCCUCCUCUCUGCCAGGUCCUCACCACUGUGUUCUUGGCGAUUUCACUAAAGAUUCACCUCCUCAAAACUGGCCCCAAUUAGUCCCACCCUGUUCAACCUACUAUCUCCACUUAACGGCAAAUGGCACCUGACACCCUCAGAAGUCAGACUCCUGGCAACUACAAUUACCCAAAAUACGGCAGAAAACUGUCUCGAAGCCCAGGCAACUGAUUCUUGGGAGAAGCUGACUCAUGCUUGGCCUCUACCUAGAGAAAUAAUUCAUAUUUAGAGCUGUGAGAAUAGAUAGCAAAGAGAGAGUAAGAAAAAAGAUGCAUAAAUAUGUACUAACACGUUUUUAUAAUUGCUUUUGUGUUCUUCCUGACAGCAUCAUGUUGCCUUUUAAUAUGGAGCAUGUGCCAUAGCUCUCCAGGAGAACCCCUCUGUGUCACAGCGAACCUCAGUCACUGACACUCAAAAGAAGGAAUUAUUUCAACUCAAUAAUAAACAAAUAACCCUAUUUUAAAAUCAGCAAAGGGUGUUACCACAUUUCCACAGAAGGUAUACAAAUGGCCAGUAAUCAUGUGAAAAGAUGCUUGAUAUCAUUUGUCAUCAGGGAAAUGCAAAUCAAAACUGCAAUGAGAGGCCAGGCGCUGUGGCUCACACCUGUAAUCCCAGCGCUUUGGGAGGCUGAGGCAGGUGGAUCGCUUGAGCCCAGGAGUUCAAACCCAGCCUGACCAACAUGGUGAAACCCCGUCUCUACAAAAAAAUACAAAAAUUAGCCGGGCACAGUGGCCUGUGCCUGUAAUCCCAGCUACUCAGGAGGCUGAGGCAGGAGACUCACUUGAACCCAGGAGGCAGAGGUUGCAGUGAGCCGAGAUUGUGCCAUUGCACUCCAGCCUGGGUGACGGGAGUGAAACCCUGUCUAAAAAAACCCCAAAAACAAAAACUACAAUGACAUAUCACUUUAUAUGCACUAGGAUGCCUAGCAUCAAAAGGUCAAAUAAAACAAGUAUGUGGAGAAACUGCGACCCUCAUACACUGCUGGUGGGAAUGUAAGAUGGUGCAGAAACUUUGGAAAGGAGUCUGGCAGCUCCUCAAAAGGUAAAAGCAUGGAGUUAUCAGGUGGCUCACAAAUUCCAUUCCUAGGGACCUAAAAGAAAUGAAGACAUGCUAUACAAACACCUGAAGACAUGCUAUACUAACACCUGAAGCCAUGCUAUACUAACACCCGAACAUGAAUGUUCAGAACAGCAUCAUUCAUGAUUACCAAGAAGUGGAAAAAACCCAAAUGUCCAUCAACUAACUGACGAGUGGAUACAGUAUAUCCAUGCAGUGGAAUUUCUUUUUCUCUUUCUUUCUUUCUUUUCUUUCUCUUUCUUUCUUUCUUUUUCUUUCCUUCUUUCUUUCUUUCUUCUUUCUUCUUUUUUUUUUUUUUGAUGGGAUCUCUUUCUGUCACCCAGGCUGGAGUUCAGUGAUGCUAUCUCAGCUCACUGCAACCUCCUCCUGGGCUCAAGCGAUCCUCCCACCUCAGCCUCCCCAGUAGCUGGGACCACAGGUGCCUGCCACCACACCCGACUAAUUUUUUGUAUUUUUGGUAGAGAUGGGGUUUCUGCCCAGGCUGGUCUUGAACUUCUGAGCUCAAGCGAUCCACCCGCCUCAGCCUCCCAAAGUGCUGGGAAUACUGGCUUGAGCCACUGCGCCCAGCUAUGCAGUGGAACAUUUCUCAGCCAUAGAAGAGAAUAAAGUACUGAUACAUGCUACAACAGGGACAAACUUUGAAAACAUUAUGCUAAGUGAAAAAAGUCAGUCACAAAUGAUCACAUGUUACAUGAUUUCAUUUACAUGAAUUGUUCAGAGAAGGCAAAUCUGUAGAGAGAGAAAGAUUAGUGGUUACCUAGGUCUGGGGGUUUGGGGGAAAAUGGGAGUGACUGGUAAUGGGUAUGGGGUUUCCUUUUGAGGUUAUGAAAAUGUUCUAAAAUUGUGGUGAUGGUUUCAUGAGUAUGUGAACAUGCUAAAAGCAAUUGCCUUGUACACAUUAAAUGCGUAAAUUAUAUGGUAGAUGAGUUAUAGCUCAAUAAAGCUGUUCUAUAAAAAUAAACCACUGGGCACUGUGGCUCACGCCUGUAAUCCCAGCACUUUGGGAGGCCGAGGCAGGCAGAUCACCUGAGGUCAGGAGUUCGAGACCAGCCUGACCAACAUGGUGAAACCCUGUUUCUACUAAAAAUACAAAAUUAGUUGGGUGUGGUGGUGCAUGCUUGUAAUCCCAGCUACUCAGGAGGCUGAGACAGGAGAAUCACUUGAACCUGGGAGGUGGAGGUUGCAAAUGAGCCGAGAUCACGCCAGAAAAAAAGAAUAGGUUAACAUAGACUCAGUAUACAAGAAAGGGAAGUGUGGCGGCUCACAUCUGUAAUCCCCGUGAAGUGGGAUUUGUUUAACAUUUUUUGAAAAUCAGAAUAAAAAAGAUUAGUGCUUAAACUGAUACUCUCUAGUUAUUUGGAAAAUACAUUUAUGUAAAACAUGUGUUUUCCUAUUAUAGUCUAAAUUAGAACAUUGGAGCACCUAGCAACAUCUUAAAGCUAGUUAAACAGAAUGACAUCAUAUUUUGACCAUACUGUUUUGAAAUUGUGCAGUUUCUCUUUGUAUCUCUAGAGUGAUUCAUGAAUAUGUAUUUGGCUUCUCAAAUUAAAAAUAUUUCACUGCUAUUGAACUAUUCCUUUAAUAUCUGUAUAAAUGUUUUUAAGUAUUAUAUUUUGAGGAUUUUGAAGCUUUAGGUUUCUUAUUUAAAAUACAAUUAUCGGCCAGGCAUGGUGGCUCACACCUGUAAUCCCAGCACUUUGGGAGGCCGAGGCGGGUGAAUCACAAGGUCAAGAGAUCAAAACCAUUCUGGCCAACAUGGUGAAACCCCGUCUCUACUAAAAAUACAAAAAAAGUUUAGCCAGGCGUGGUCGUGGGCACCUGUAGUCCCAGCUACUCAGGAGGCUGAAGCAGGAGAAUGAUGUGAACCCAGGAGGCGUAGGUUGCAGUGAGCUGAGAUCGCACCACUGCACUCCAGCCUGGCAACAGAGCGAGACUCUGUCUCAAAAAAAUACAAUAAUAAAAUAAAAUAAAAAAUAAAAUAAAAUAUAGAAUCAUCUGGGCCAGGCACGGUGGCCCAUGCCUGUAAUCCCAGUACUUUGGGAGGCUGAGGUAGGUGGAUCCCUUGAGCUCAAGAGAUUGAAACCAGCCUAGGCAACAUGGUGAAACCCCAUAUCUACAAAAAUACAAAAUGCAAAAGAAUUAGCCAGGCAUGGUGGCACGCGCCUGUUGUCCCAGCUACUCGGGAGGCUAAGGCGAAAGGAUCAUUUGCACCCAGAAAGUCGAGGCUGCAGUGAGCCAAGAUUGCGCCACUGCACUCAAGCCUGGGUGACAAAGCGAGACCCUGUCUCAAAAACAAAACAAAAUUUUAAAAUUGCCACAAUUAUCCUUAAUCUUAUGUUGGAGAUGAUUACUAGGGAGAUCAUUAAUAUAUAA